AUCUGCCCCUAAGACGAGGAUAACAGUUGGAAACGACUGCUAAGACUGGAUAGGAGACAAGAAGGCAUCUUCUUGUUUUUAAAAGACCUAGCAAUAGGUAUGCUUAGGGAGGAGCUUGCGUCACAUUAGUUAGUUGGUGGGGUAAAGGCCUACCAAGACUAUGAUGUGUAGCCGGGCUGAGAGGUUGAACGGCCACAUUGGGACUGAGACACGGCCCAAACUCCUACGGGAGGCAGCAGUAGGGAAUUUUCGGCAAUGGAGGAAACUCUGACCGAGCAACGCCGCGUGAACGAUGAAGUAUUUCGGUACGUAAAGUUCUUUUAUUAGGGAAGAAUAAAUGAUGGAAAAAUCAUUCUGACGGUACCUAAUGAAUAAGCCCCGGCUAACUAUGUGCCAGCAGCCGCGGUAAUACAUAGGGGGCAAGCGUUAUCCGGAAUUAUUGGGCGUAAAGGGUGCGUAGGCGGUUAAAUAAGUUUAUGGUCUAAGUGCAAUGCUCAACAUUGUGAUGCUAUAAAAACUGUUUAGCUAGAGUAAGAUAGAGGCAAGUGGAAUUCCAUGUGUAGUGGUAAAAUGCGUAAAUAUAUGGAGGAACACCAGUAGCGAAGGCGGCUUGCUGGGUCUUUACUGACGCUGAGGCACGAAAGCGUGGGGAGCAAACAGGAUUAGAUACCCUGGUAGUCCACGCCGUAAACGAUGAGUACUAAACGUUGGGUAAAACCAGUGUUUAAGUUAACACAUUAAGUACUCCGCCUGACCAGUACGUACGCAAGUAUGAAACUUAAAGGAAUUGACGGGACUCCGCACAAGCGGUGGAUCAUGUUGUUUAAUUCGAAGGUACCCGAAAAACCUCACCAGGUCUUGACAUGCUUCUGCAAAGCUGUAGAAACACAGUGGAGGUUAUCAGUUGCACAGGUGGUGCAUGGUUGUCGUCAGCUCGUGUCGUGAGAUGUUGGGUUAAGUCCCGCAACGAGCGCAACCCUUAUUGUUAGUUACCAGCACGUAAUGGUGGGGACUUUAGCAAGACUGCCAGUGAUAAAUUGGAGGAAGGUGGGGACGACGUCAAAUCAUCAUGCCCCUUAUGACCUGGGCUACAAACGUGAUACAAUGGCUGUUACAAAGGGUAGCUGAAGCGCAAGUUUUUGGCGAAUCUCAAAAAAACAGUCUCAGUUCGGAUUGAAGUCUGCAACUCGACUUCAUGAAGUUGGAAUCGCUAGUAAUCGCGAAUCAGCAUGUCGCGGUGAAUACGUUCUCGGGGUUUGUACACACCGCCCGUCAAACCACGAAAGUUGGCAAUACCCAAAGCCGGUGGC
rnacentral:rRNA from 4 species